rnacentral:pre_miRNA from 14 species
UCUUCAGAGAUGAGGGUGGUCGCUGAACCUGGAUGAGCCUCCAAAUGAAAGACCCCCAGAGCAGGGAGACCUCACUCAAGUCUCGGGAUGAUGCAACCUCCCAAGAACUCACACAAGACC